rnacentral:lncRNA from 1 species
UUAACUAAGAGGAAUUUAUGAUUUAUAAUCUCUCAUAUUUAGAUUCAUAACAAACCAUGUGGGAAGAAGAAAUAUAUUUUUUUCUUCUCAUUCCUGAGAUUCUCUCUAGUUAAAAGGUUAUUUUGGACAAGAGUGAUUUGAUUUUGGAUAAUCUUAGUCCUUUUUUCUUCUGCCGUGCCUGGUUUAAAAUCCUGCAGUGUGUGUUGCUUUAAGUAAUGACUCCCGGCCUGUGUGUUAUAAGCAUUGGAUGAUGAGAACAGUGAUUUAAAGUAUUUGGGUGGUUAUAAAGCAUUUUGUAUUGUAGCGAUUACUUCCGAAUAACUCAAUCUCUGGCUUCUAAGCAUAUACAUCUCUGUAGCUCCUUGCUCUCUAUAUCAAACUUCAGGCCGUUUUAAUCACAUGUAAUUUCUCUAUCCUCUUCUUUUUCUGGUUUUGUUUUCACUUAAUUAGUUUUCCUAGUUCCUGCUAAAUCUUUGUUUGAAAUUCUGUUUAAUUACAUCUUUAGUUUCUUCUGUCAUUUUUUACUUUCAUGAAUCUUUCACUAUUUAGAAUUAGAACCACCUCCUAACCAUAUAUAUUCUGAAAUUUUUUAGUUGACCAGAUCCAUAUUAGGGUGCUGCGUUUGCAUGCUAAUAGGAUUGGGUUCAUACAGAUGGCAGAAUACUUGAGUUUGUAGCCUUAUUUGAUAUGCUUUUGCCAAAAAUAGCCUCUUUUUAUUCUGUUUUUUUUUAUGCUCAAUCUUUUUUUUUCUGUUAAAUUAUUGAAUGUGAAUAUAUCUUCAUCUUGGUAGUUGAUGGUUGCCAAAAUCGAUGUAAGUAGCAUGAAAGAAAAUUUAUUAUAAUGAGUGAGUGAUGACAGUGUUAUCAUACCAUGAGAAAGAGACAUACAUAUAUAUACUAAAGCAAUUUUGAUGAAAUACCAAGUGCAUGAAUUAACUGUGCUAUAGGUAGAUAUAAGCUACAUUAUUGUGGUUACAGAAUUAAGCAAGUUUAUUGGCUGAAAUAACACUAUAUUAGUUUUUGUUUUUUGUUGAAAAUCAUUCUUUAUUUUCUCAACUUUAAAGAGAUAGGAAACUGAUUCUAGUGAAGUUCUGCUAAACUCAACAUGAAUAAGUUGAACUUAUUCAUCUCCUAACAAUUCAAGGAGAAAAGUCUUGUAAUUUCCCCAUGUCUUCCUAGCCACAGUAUCAUGAAUGGUGGCAUUGUUUCUCUUUACAAAAAGGUCUUUGAUUUCCUUUAAAUCCUUCUCUGCACGAGUGAUGAUAACACGACUCAAAGCAUCUUCUUCAUUUACCAAAUCAUUCAAGGCGUGGCAUAACACCUAGAUCAAGUUAUUACAUACAUGUUUAAUUAAAGCUAUAGAACAAAGAAAUUAUGAAUGGAUACUACAACGACUUAAUGACUUUGGUUACCUUAGCCAAAUAUCUUUGAGUGUUGUUGAUGCAACGAAUAGUAGUACGCAAUGCUCCAUUGUACUCAUCAAUUGGACUACCUGAUAAUCCCUAUAGUAGGCAACAGCAAAUCUCAUUCCAUACCCUUUAUUAAGUUUAAUAAAUCAAUGAGUUUGUUACGCACAUAAUGGGAGUUCUCCUUUUUCAAUCAGGUUUUUGUGUGUGCACAAUUCGAAUCUAUGACCACUUGUUUAAGAUGAUCGAAUCUUUACCACAAUACCAACCUCAUUUGGUACCUUGAUUUAAGUUUUUAUUAAUUGUUGUCACAACUAUAUCUUGGAAGUACAAAAAACCUUUGAUUUAUAUGCGAUUUUGUUAUCUCUAUAUAAUUUCCAAAAGGCCAUGAUAUCCUUGAUUUAUAUUUAAAGAAUUUAAGUUGUAAUAUCAUUUCUUUGAUAAUUGUUUUGCAGGACUAGAAACUCAUCUUACCUUGGUAAUUGUUGUGCCAUAUAAGUCUUUAAAGAUGUUGAAAGUUGCACAAAGCUGCUUCUUACUUCUUGUGCUUAAAAUUCUAAUCAUUUCAUCAUCAUUAAAAGCUUUCUUUUCAACCAAUUGAUGAAGUAUGUUUGCUUCAGAAUGAGCCACAUUCUCAUCAAACUCAUCUCCACCAUACCUGUAAGUGCUUAUAACUGCAACCAACAACUGUAUGAAAAAUAGUAAGUUUUGCUAUUUUAAUUGCAAUUGAAGUGUACAAAAAAUCACACAAAACUAGUGUUUGAGGUGAGAGUUGUCUAGAGCUAUUGAGCUUGGUGCCUAGAUUGUCCAACAAAUAAUUUAAAAUAAAUUGAUAUUAUCUUAUAUUUUAAAGUGAAAAUUGUCUAACUAAUAAAAUUUUAUUUAGGUAAUUUCUAGUAAAUGUGAUACCUAGGUUUCUCUCCGACCCAUCUUUUUUAGACCCAAAUUCUCUACAGGCAGAAGAACCACACAGUCAUACAAUCAAGAGAUCUCAAUUGUCGAAUGAAAAUCGAAUAGCUUAUAUUUUGAUUGUACCAAAUAGGUUUAAAAGUAAAACUUAGUUUAAGUUCAAUUUUUAUUCAACGGCCAAGACAUACUAGCAAUAGGGUUAUUGCAUGUAAAUGACAUACUAGCAAUGCAAAAAAAAUUCUUGUGACAUUCCUCUUCUAUAUUCAAAUCAACAAGAAAACAAUUCACUCUCCCAAAUGCUUAAUUAAUUUUAAAACAUUGUCCUCAUUAUAAAAAUCUAAUUACAUAAAGCUUAAAAUAACACAUACUUUGCGAAUGUCACCACUAGUUUGGGAAGCAACAUCUUCUUCAAGGCAAUGCUUAUAUAGAGAGUGAUAAGAACGCUUUACACCCAGAAGCUCUUCAGAAUUUCUUGUGCAAACAAUCUCAAUAAUUACUUUGUAAUCUGGUGUUGCCUUCUUUAAUGCCUCAUUAAUAAGUGUUGCGUCUCUUUCAGCUGGAUCCAUUGUCCAAUGGCAUACGGCUCUCUAGUUUUAAUGAUAUUUUAAAAUCAUAUUUACAAUUAGAAUGUUAUUCAUUCAAAACAUAUAGCCAAAAUAUUUUAUUUUAAGUGUUUGAAACCUAUUUCAAUCAAUUAGAACAUUAAUUUAUAAAAAUGUUAGUGUUAUGAAUUGUAAUAUUUUUACCUCAAAGUUUCCUGAAAGUUCAGAUUUUAAUUGUUCGAUAAGAUCCUGAUGAUAAAUUUCUUUAUAAGCCAACCUCACAAGUUUCCUUUGAGCUUCAUUUCUGUGUGCUAGUAUAGAUACAAGCAUUGUCUCAUCUGUCCCGAAUCCUAUACACAAUAAAAACCAUGAAUUUAUUAUGUUAAAGCUAUUAUAUGGUUUAUAAAAAGUUAUAAAGGGGAUUUACCUAAAAUUUGUAAGAACUAAAAUGCGUUAAAUAAUUGUUUUAAAGUGAUAUAUGCAGUUAACAAUUUUUUUUUUGCAGAAACAUAACCUUUGCAUGCUCUCAUGAUAGCUUCAGCAUCUUCAAUUGGAGAUGAAUCUUUU